rnacentral:rRNA from 1 species
GAUGAACGCUGGCGGCGUGCCUAAUACAUGCAAGUCGAGCGAACAGACGAGGAGCUUGCUCCUCUGACGUUAGCGGCGGACGGGUGAGUAACACGUGGAUAACCUACCUAUAAGACUGGGAUAACUUCGGGAAACCGGAGCUAAUACCGGAUAAUAUAUUGAACCGCAUGGUUCAAUAGUGAAAGACGGUUUUGCUGUCACUUAUAGAUGGAUCCGCGCCGCAUUAGCUAGUUGGUAAGGUAACGGCUUACCAAGGCAACGAUGCGUAGCCGACCUGAGAGGGUGAUCGCCCACACUGGAACUGAGACACGGUCCAGACUCCUACGGGAGGCAGCAGUAGGGAAUCUUCCGCAAUGGGCGAAAGCUUGACGGAGCAACGCCGCGUGAGUGAUGAAGGUCUUCGGAUCGUAAAACUCUGUUAUUCGGGAAGAACAAAUGUGUAAGUAACUAUGCACGUCUUGACGGUACCUAAUCAGAAAGCCACGGCUAACUACGUG